CGUAGGAUCCAAGCGUUAUCCGGAAUUGCUGGGCGUAAAGCGUCUGUAGGUGGCGCGUCAGGUGAGAUGCGAAAUCUUGUGGCUCAACCACAUAGACUGUGUCUCAAACCAACGUGCUAGAGGUCGGUAGAGGCAAGUGGAAUUCUCGGUGUAGCAGUGACAUGCGUAGAUAUCGAGAGGAACACCAAUGGCGAAGGCAGCUUGCUGGGCCGCACCUGACACUCAGAGACGAAAGCGUGGGGAGCGAACGGGAUUAGAUACCCCGGUAGUCCACGCCGUAAACGAUGGUCACUAUGAGUAUGGAGAUUCGACCCUCUGUGCUCAGUAGCUAACGCGUUAAGUGACCCGCCUGGGGAGUACGAACGCAAGUUUA
rnacentral:rRNA from 1 species